GCUGGGCGUGGUGGCGGGCGCCUGUAGUCCCAGCUACUUGGGAGGCUGAGGCAGGAGAAUGGUGUGAGCCCGGGAGGCGGAGCUUCCAGUGAGCCGAGAUUGCACUCCAGCCUGGGUGACAGAGUGAGGCUCCAUCUGGAAAAAAAAAAAAAAAGAAAAAAGUUAAAAUUUUUUUUUUUGAGUCUCGCACUCUUGCCCAGGCUGGAGUUUAGUGGCGCCAUCUCGGCUCACUGCAAGCUCCACCUCCCAGGUUCACGCCAUUCUCCUGCCUCAG
rnacentral:SRP_RNA from 1 species